rnacentral:rRNA from 1 species
AGUCUGAUGUGAAAGCCCCCGGCUCAACCGGGGAGGGUCAUUGGAAACUGGGGAACUUGAGUGCAGAAGAGGAGAGUGGAAUUCCACGUGUAGCGGUGAAAUGCGUAGAGAUGUGGAGGAACACCAGUGGCGAAGGCGACUCUCUGGUCUGUAACUGACGCUGAGGAGCGAAAGCGUGGGGAGCGAACAGGAUUAGAUACCCUGGUAGUCCACGCCGUAAACGAUGAGUGCUAAGUGUUAGGGGGUUUCCGCCCCUUAGUGCUGCAGCUAACGCAUUAAGCACUCCGCCUGGGGAGUACGGUCGCAAGACUGAAACUCAAAGGAAUUGACGGGGGCCCGCACAAGCGGUGGAGCAUGUGGUUUAAUUCGAAGCAACGCGAAGAACCUUACCAGGUCUUGACAUCCUCUGACAAUCCUAGAGAUAGGACGUCCCCUUCGGGGGCAGAGUGACAGGUGGUGCAUGGUUGUCGUCAGCUCGUGUCGUGAGAUGUUGGGUUAAGUCCCGCAACGAGCGCAACCCUUGAUCUUAGUUGCCAGCAUUCAGUUGGGCACUCUAAGGUGACUGCCGGUGACAAACCGGAGGAAGGUGGGGGAUGACGUCAAAUCAUCAUGCCCCUUAUGACCUGGGCUACACACGUGCUACAAUGGACAGAACAAAGGGCAGCGAAACCGCGAGGUUAAGCCAAUCCCACAAAUCUGUUCUCAGUUCGGAUCGCAGUCUGCAACUCGACUGCGUGAAGCUGGAAUCGCUAGUAAUCGCGG